rnacentral:rasiRNA from 1 species
GAUGAUGCCAUCCUAGAGUAUGACUCG